GAUGAACGCUGGCGGCGUGCCUAAUACAUGCAAGUCGAGCGAACAGACGAGGAGCUUGCUCCUCUGACGUUAGCGGCGGACGGGUGAGUAACACGUGGAUAACCUACCUAUAAGACUGGGAUAACUUCGGGAAACCGGAGCGAAUACCGGAUAAUAUAGUGAACCGCAUGGUUCAAUAGUGAAAGACGGUGUUGCGGUCACUUAUAGAUGGAUCCGCGCCGCAUUAGCUAGUUGGUAAGGUAACGGCUUACCAAGGCAACGGUGCGUAGCCGACCUGAGAGGGUGAUCGGCCACACUGGAACUGAGACACGGUCCAGACUCCUACGGGAGGCAGCAGUAGGGAAUCUUCCGCCAUGGGCGAAAGCUUGACGGAGCAACGCCGCGUGAGUGAUGAAGGUCUUCGGAUCGUAAAACUCUGUUAUUAGGGAAGAACAAGUGUGUAAGUAACUAUGCACGUCUUGACGGUACCUAAUCAGAAAGCCACGGCUAACUACGUG
rnacentral:rRNA from 1 species